CUAGUAACUUAACUGACUGCUAGAAUAAAUAUCAACAUACUUCAGAGAAAAACAACAUAAUCUAGAGUCUCUACAAUGUCUCAUCCACAAUUUCUAGUAUAUAAUAGAACAUCUGUUAGACAUGUGAAGACAAAAAGGAAUAUGUAACCCAUAGUGAAAAAAAAAAUCAGGCAAUAGAAACAGACUAUGAGAUGUCAUAGUUGUUACAACUAUGAGAUGACAUAGUUGUUAGAGUUAGCAGACAAGGACUUUAAGGUAAAUGUUUUAAAAUAUGUUCAAGGACUUACAGGAAAAGGUGAUCACAGUGAGUAAACAGAAAGACAAACUCAGAGAAAUGGAAAUUAUAAAUAAGAACCAGGUGGACAUUCUAGUCCUGAAAAUCGUAACAUCUGAAAUAACGAAAAUUCACUAAUUAGUUGGACUUAACAGCAGAUUGGUGAUGAGAGAAGAAAAAGUAAAUGAAACAUAAAGAUGAGUCAACAGAAAUAAUCCAAUCUGAAAACAGACCAAAAAAAUGACUUUCAAAAAUUGAAACAGAGUUUCAGUGAUCUUUGGACAUGUGUGAUUAGAGCCUCUGAAGGAAAUAAGAGAUAAUGAGGCAGGAAAAAAGACUGGGCAAAAAAUGGCUUAAAAAAUCUCCAAAUUUGGUUAAGAAAAAAAAUCAAUUUUCAGACCCCCCAAAAAUCAAAGUACAUAGCUGGGCAUGGCAGCUCACACCUGUAAUCCCAGCACUUUGGGAGGCUGAGGUGGGUGGAUCUCCUGACGUCAGGAGUUUGAGACCAGCCUGGCCAAUAUGGCAAAACCUUGUCUCAACUAAAAAUACAAAAUUAGCCGGCGUGGUGGUGGGAGCCUGUAAUCCCAGGUACUCAGAAGACUGAGGCAGGAAACUAGCUUGAACCCGGGAGGCGGAGGUUCUAGUGAGUGAAGGUUGCGCUGAGACACGAAGCCAGCUGGACUUCUUGGGUGGAGUGGGGACUCGGAGAACUUUUCUGUCUUACAAGAGGAUUCACUCUGUAGCUAGGAUUGUAAAACACACCAAUCAGCACUCUGUAGCUAGCAAGAGAAUUGUAAAAUGCACCAAUCAGCGCUCUGUAAAAUGCACCAAUCAGUGCUCUGUAAAAUGCACCAAUCAGCGCUCUGUAAACGCACCAAUCAGCAAGAGUCUAAAAGUAGCCAAUUGCGGGGAGGAUUGAAAAAAGGGCACUCUGAUAGGACAGAAACAGAACAUGGGAGGGGACAAAUAAGGGAAUAAAAGCUGGCCACCACAGCCAGCAGCAGCAAUUGGGCGAGGUGCCGUUCCCUGCUGUGAAGGUUUGUUCUUUCUGUGUUCACAAUAAAUCUUGCUGCUGCUCACUUUUUGGGUCUGUGCCACCUUUAAGAGCUGUAACACUCACCCUGAAGGUUGGUGGCUUCAUUCUUGAAGUCAGUGAGACCAGGAACCCACCGGCAGGAACCAACUCCGGACACAGCGCCACUGCACUCCAGCAUGGGCGACAGAGCAAGACUCAGUAAAUAAAUAAAACGAAAAAAGCACGCACGCACAAAGCAACAAAAACGUUUCAAAGAACAUCUUGAAAUCAGCCGUGAAGGAGAAAAACACACCAAACGAUGGUAUAAUUGAUGAUGAUCCUCUGAUAACAAAAAACAGGCUUUAAAACAAUGGAAUGGGAUCCGUCAGAUUUAAGAGUGAGAGAGAGAGUAAAACUUCUGAAAACAUUUCUGUUUUAUACCAACGAAAAUACCAUUUUAAAAUGAGGGUCACGUAAUGCCAUUUUCAGAUAAAUGAAAGAUGAAUUUGUUACCAGCAGAGCUACAUUAAGAGAAAUGAUAAAGAAGUUCUUUUGGCCAAAGGAAACUGACAUCAUAUGAAUUUCAGACACAGAGAAGAAAAAAUAACAUAGGAAACGUUAAAUAUGUGGUUUGAUCUCAUCACAGUGACCAAAAUGCUCAAAAUCCAGCAAUGGCUCUCAUUUUCACUCGAGUAAAAGCCGAAGUCCUGACAAUUGCCUCUGAGGUUCCGCGUGAUCAUCUGCCCAGACGCAGCCCCAUCCUUGCUUCUCUGACUUCAUAGCCCACUGCUCCCCUCUUCCUCACAUAGCUCCAGCCACACUGCUCUCCUAGCACGCUUCUGCCUCAGGGCCUUGCUCCACCUCAUUUAUCUUUCUGGAAACUCUUGUCUCAUAUAUCUGCUUAGCUUCCUCCCUA
rnacentral:lncRNA from 1 species